UGGGGAAUCUUCCGCAAUGGACGAAAGUCUGACGGAGCAACGCUGCGUGAGUGAAGAAGGUUUUCGGAUCGUAAAACUCUGUCUUUUGGGGCGAACGUGAGUAUGGUGAACAAUCAUAGUCAGUGACGGUACCAAAGGAGGAAGCCACGGCUAACUACGUGCCAGCAGCCGCGGUAAUACGUAGGUGGCAAGCGUUGUCCGGAAUUAUUGGGCGUAAAGAGCGCGUAGGCGGGAUAGUCAGUCUGUUGUAAAGUGCGGGGCUCAACCCCGUGAUCGCAAUGGAAACAGCUAUUCUUGGGUGCAGGAGAGGAAAGUGGAAUUCCCAGUGUAGCGGUGAAAUGCGUAGAUAUUGGGAGGAACACCAGUGGCGAAGGCGACUUUCUGGACUGUGUCUGACGCUGAGGCGCGAAAGCCAGGGGAGCGAACGGGAUUAGAUACCCCGGUAGUCCUGGCCGUAAACGAUGGGUACUAGGUGUGGGAGGUAUCGACCCCUUCCGUGCCGGAGUUAACGCAAUAAGUACCCCGCCUGGGGAGUACGGUCGCAAGACCG
rnacentral:rRNA from 1 species